GGGAUUGUGGUCUAGCUUGGUAUGAUUCUGGUUUUGGGUACCAGAGAUCGUAGGUUCAAAUCCUGCCAAUCCCACCA
rnacentral:tRNA from 1 species